rnacentral:rRNA from 1 species
GGCCCCGCACAAGCGGUGGAGCAUGUGGUUUAAUUCGAUGAUACGCGAGGAACCUUACCAGGACUUAAAUGUAAGUUGCAUGAUUCAGAAAUGAAUCUUUCUUCGGACUACUUACAAGGUGCUGCAUGGUUGUCGUCAGCUCGUGCCGUGAGGUGUCAGGUUAAGUCCUAUAACGAGCGCAACCCCUAUCGUUAGUUGCCAUCAAGUAAUGUUGGGUACUCUAGCGAGACUGCCGGUGCAAACCGUGAGGAAGGUGGGGAUGACGUCAAAUCAUCACGGCCCUUACGUCCUGGCUACACACGUGCUACAAUGGCCGGUACAGAGAGCAGCCACUACGCGAGUAGGAGCG